UGGAAGUGGUUAUGUAACACUUUGGUGCUUUAAUUUGUAUGCCCUGUCAGACAUAACAAAAAAAUAAAUAAAUACUUUAAAUGGGUGACAGCCUAAUCUUUUAUUUUUGUUUUUUUUCAUUGGAUUGUGUUUUUAAUAUUAAAAAACCUCAACAAGAAAAACAUUAGCGAUUUUAUUAACCUAUUAUAUUUAAAACAAGAAAAACAUUAGUUUCAAGAAUUUAAAGUGUCUAACCUCUUAUAUUUUGGUGAAACAUUGCCUAAAAUUAAUGUUUCGUAACAAAGAAGAGACUAAACAUCUGUGCUGACUGAGUCAUAGGUGUAGUUUUAAUUGGCAAACUCAGGUUGUUGAUCUGGUUACUUUAUGUUGCAGCAAUCAUACUUCUGUUUCUUUUCUGUCUUGAAAGUAGUAAUUCAUCUUUUAUAGACUAACUGAAACAUAUCCCAGGGAACCUUCUGUGUAGCAUCAUGGCAAGGAAUAGAAGUUGCUGUGAAAAAACUUGGGGAGGAAGUGACUGCCGAUGAGGAUAAAAUGAGGGCUUUCAGUGAUGAGCUUGAAUUGCUUCAGAAGAUACGACAUCCAAAUGUAGUCCAAUUUCUGGGUACUGUAACAUAAAGUACCCCAAUGAUGAUUGUGACAGAAUAUUUACCCAAGGUCUUUCUCAAUUUUUUGAGUACUUACUUCUUAUUAAGUGGCACUUGAUAGUCUUCAACUUUUUGCUGAUUUCCAGCUUAUUAGAUUGCAGAUUUAAUAUUCUUUAUUGUUUAUGGCGCAGUAGUACUUCUUCUCGUCCUAGCUAUUUAUCCUUGUAAUUGCAGUUAGUGUUGUUUUUGCUAUUUCCAAUUCUUUCUUACCCUUUGCUGAAUUUGACCUUUUCUUAAUGCUUGUGUUUCAAAUAUAUAUUCAAUCUUUGAACUUCAAUUUUUAUGGUGGUUUGUGUCAACAGAAGGUGAAUUCUUUUGAUAUGUCUUCCAUCUCAGAAUCGGACUGCUAUUUACACUGAGCAAUGCUUUUUAUAUCUUUUAACAUGUCAUUUAAUGCUAUAUAUGGAUGUGAAGAUUCCAUCUAGCAAGUGCUUCUCGUUUUGAUUUUUUCAAGAUCUUGAGCUUAAUUCUCAUUAGAAUGAGCUUACUUCUCAGAAGAGUUGGGCCCCCUCUUCUUUCCAAAGCCAACAACUACAAACAACUGUGAGAAUAUAUUGUAUAUUAGGAAUUAGUGUAAAUAUUAGGAAUUGGUUAUAGAUUUAGGAAUUAUAUUGUAUAUUAAGAAUUAGGAAUUAGUGUAUAUUAGGAAUUAGGAAUUAGUGUAAAAAUUAGUGUAAAUAUUACUUCUCAUAAUUGGUUAUAUUAGGAAUUAGUGUAAAUAGCAAUCUUUGUAUUUCCUUUUUCAGUAAUAGAUUUAGGGCUAAUUCCUAAUAUAACCAAUCAUGCCAUAUAUACAAAGAUUCCUAAUAUAACCAAUUAUGCUAUAUAUACAAUAUAUUCUCACAACGCCAAGUACACAAGUCAUCAACAAAUUAUAACACUGAUUGUUGCUGAGAAAAAAAGAGUUGAACUGAGAAUUAAAAUUCAAUCUCAGAUUUUCAGCAUUUUGGGUUUUAGAUUACAAAGUUCCACCCCUCUCUCUCUCUCUCUCUCUUUCUGUCUCUCCAUGAAGCCCUCAAAUUCAAACCCAUCACACAAUCACUAGAGGUUCGGGACAUCAUUGAUGCGGAAGCUCAAGAGGUGCUUUUCAUGUUACAAGCCGACAGAGCCAAGAAGCAAAGAAAAAUACAAGGGGAAGAUGUCGUGUAACUUGUCGGAGAAAACUAGCUGCGGUGAUGGUGGGUAUAGCGAAAUGAUUCAAAAUGCCAUCAGCUACUGCAAGGAUUCGCUGAUCAAGGGCGACGCAAAAGCAAAUGAGACUCCUAUUGAAGAGCUGGAGACUGAAGCCAAGGUUCUCGAUAUACCAAGCCCAUGCUCCAUGGAUAUUGAUUCUCAAACUAAUAAUCAGUUACCACAAGUGAUCAGUAAGUGCACCCACUGAUCAGUUUGUCCCUUAUAAUUAGUUUUUCUGCUGCUCUUUCUACAUCUUUUAUGACCAUA